rnacentral:rRNA from 1 species
AGGGCACCCCCCGGAGUGGAGCCUGGGGCUUAAUUUGACUCAACACGGGAAAACUCACCCGGGCCGGACACUGGAAGGAUUGACAGAUUGGGAGCUCUUUCUUGAUUCUCUGGGUGGGGGGGCAUGGGCGUUCUUAGUUGGGGGAGAGAUUUGUCUGGGUAAUUCUGAUAACAAACAAGACUCUAGCCUACUAAAUAGAUCGUCGGCUUACAAACGCCGAUGAGACUUCUUAGAGGGACAGGCGGCGAUUCAGCCGCACGAAACAGAGCAAUAACAGGUCUGUGAUGCCCUUAGAUGUCCGGGGCCGCACGCGCGCUACACUGAAGUGAUCAGCGUGCAUUUUCAGCCUACUCUGCCAAGAGUGGGAAACCCAAUGAACCUUCUUCGUGAUUGGGAUAGGAGAUUGUAAUUAUUCUCCUUGAACGAGGAAUUCCCAGUAAGCGCGAGUCAUAAGCUCGCGUUGAUUACGUCCCUGCCCUUUGUACACACCGCCCGUCGCUACUACCGAUUGAAUGUGAA